UACGUAGGGUGCGAGCGUUGUCCGGAAUUACUGGGCGUAAAGAGCUCGUAGGCGGUCUGUCGCGUCGGAUGUGAAAACCCAGGGCUCAACCCUGGGCCUGCAUUCGAUACGGGCAGACUAGAGUACGGCAGGGGAGACUGGAAUUCCUGGUGUAGCGGUGAAAUGCGCAGAUAUCAGGAGGAACACCGGUGGCGAAGGCGGGUCUCUGGGCCUUACCUGACGCUGAGGAGCGAAAGCGUGGGGAGCGACCAGG
rnacentral:rRNA from 1 species